UUGAUUUUAGUAACACAGUUACUAAAGUUAGAACAAUAAAGAGAAGAUUAAUGUGGUCCCUGCACAAGUUCAUGAAGAGUGUAUAUACAUUUUU
rnacentral:snRNA from 1 species